GAUGAACGCUAGCGGCAGGCUUAAUACAUGCAAGUCGAGGGGCAUCAAGGUACACGAAAGUGUAUUGUUGGCGACCGGCGGACGGGUGAGUAAUAGGUAGGUAACCUACCUCAUACUGAGGCAUAGCUGGGAGAAAUUCCAGGUAAUUCCUCAUGAGGUUAUAUGACACAUGUGAUAUAAUCAAAGGUAUCGCAAGGUACUGGUAUGAGAUGGGCUUACUGACCAUUAGCUAGUUGGUGAGAUAAGAGCUCACCAAGGCGAAGAUGGUUAGGGGUUUUGAGAGAGAGAUCCCCCACAUUGGAACUGAGAUACGGUCCAGACUCCUACGGGAGGCAGCAGUAGGGAAUAUUGGGCAAUGGCGGAAGCCUGACCCAGCCAUGCCGCGUGAAGGAAGACGGCCUUAUGGGUUGUAAAACUUUUUAACUAAUGCGACUAAACUAGAUUUACGAGAUAAAUUCUAUAAGAAUGUAAGCAUAGCAAAAAAGCAACCGGA
rnacentral:rRNA from 1 species